AUUGAACGCUGGCGGCAGGCCUAACACAUGCAAGUCGAGCGGAUGAAGGGAGCUUGCUCCUGGAUUCAGCGGCGGACGGGUGAGUAAUGCCUAGGAAUCUGCCUGGUAGUGGGGGAUAACGUCCGGAAACGGGCGCUAAUACCGCAUACGUCCUGAGGGAGAAAGUGGGGGAUCUUCGGACCUCACGCUAUCAGAUGAGCCUAGGUCGGAUUAGCUAGUUGGUGGGGUAAGGGCCUACCAAGGCGACGAUCCGUAACUGGUCUGAGAGGAUGACCAGUCACACUGGAACUGAGACACGGUCCAGACUCCUACGGGAGGCAGCAGUGGGGAAUAUUGGACAAUGGGCGAAAGCCUGAUCCAGCCAUGCCGCGUGUGUGAAGAAGGUCUUCGGAUUGUAAAGCACUUUAAGUUGGGAGGAAGGGCAGUAAGUUAAUACCUUGCUGUUUUGACGUUACCAACAGAAUAAGCACCGGCUAACUUCGUG
rnacentral:rRNA from 1 species